UACGUAGGGUCCGAGCGUUGUCCGGAAUUACUGGGCGCAAAGAGCUCGUAGGUGGUUUGUCGCGUUGUCCGUGAAAACUCACAGCUUAACUGUGGGCGUGCGGGCGAUACGGGCAGACUGGAGUACUGCAGGGGAGACUGGAAUUCCUGGUGUAGCGGUGGAAUGCGCAGAUAUCAGGAGGAACACCGGUGGCGAAGGCGGGUCUCUGGGCAGUAACUGACGCUGAGGAGCGAAAGCCAGGGGAGCAAACGGG
rnacentral:rRNA from 1 species